AUUGAACGCUGGCGGCAGGCCUAACACAUGCAAGUCGAGCGGAUGAAGGGAGCUUGCUCCUGGAUUCAGCGGCGGACGGGUGAGUAAUGCCUAGGAAUCUGCCUGGUAGUGGGGGAUAACGUCCGGAAACGGGCGCUAAUACCGCAUACGUCCUGAGGGAGAAAGGGGGGGAUCUUCGGACCUCACGCUAUCAGAUGAGCCUAGGUCGGAUUAGCUAGUUGGUGGGGUAAAGGCCUAGCAAGGCGACGAUCCGUAACUGGUCUGAGAGGAUGAUCAGUCAGACUGGAACUGAGACAGGGUCCAGACUCCUACGGGAGGCAGCAGUGGGGAAUAUUGGACAAUGGGCGAAAGCCUGAUCCAGCCAUGCCGCGUGUGUGAAGAAGGUCUUCGGAUUGUAAAGCACGUUAAGUUGGGAGGAAGGGCAGUAAGUUAAUACCUUGCUGUUUUGACGUUACCAACAGAAUAAGCACCGGCUAACUACGUG
rnacentral:rRNA from 1 species